rnacentral:rRNA from 1 species
AGCUCAACUGUUGGGCUUUCAAGAAAUACUGUCUGGCUCGAGGCCGGGAGAGGUGAGAGGUACUUCAGGGGUAGGGGUGAAAUCUUGUAAUCCUUGAAGGACCACCAGUGGCGAAGGCGUCUCACCAGAACGGACCUGACGGCAAGGGACGAAAGCUAGGGGCACGAACCGGAUUAGAUACCCGGGUAGUCCUAGCCGUAAACGAUACUCGCUAGGUGUCGGCCACGGUGCGACCGUUGUCGGUGCCGUAAGGAAGCCAUGAAGCGAGCCAGCUGGGAAGUACGGCCGCAAGGCUGAAACUUAAAGGAAUUGGCGGGCGAGCACCCCAACGGGUGGAGCUUGCUGUUUAAUUGGAUUCAACGCCGGAAAUCUUACCGGGACCGACAGCAAUAUGAAGGCCAGGCUGAAGACUUUGCCGGAUUAACUGAGAGGUGGUGCAUGGCCGUCGUCAGUUCGUACUGUGAUAACAUA